rnacentral:rRNA from 1 species
GACGAACGCUGGCGGCGUGCCUAAUACAUGCAAGUCGAGCGAGCUGAACCAGCAGAUUCACUUCGGUGAUGACGCUGGGAACGCGAGCGGCGGAUGGGUGAGUAACACGUGGGUAACCUGCCCUAAAGUCUGGGAUACCACUUGGAAACAGGUGCUAAUACCGGAUAACAACAAUAGCUGCAUGGCUAUUGCUUAAAAGGCGGCGAAAGCUGUCGCUAAAGGAUGGACCCGCGGUGCAUUAGCUAGUUGGUAAGGUAACGGCUUACCAAGGCGACGAUGCAUAGCCGAGUUGAGAGACUGAUCGGCCACAUUGGGACUGAGACACGGCCCAAACUCCUACGGGAGGCAGCAGUAGGGAAUCUUCCACAAUGGGCGAAAGCCUGAUGGAGCAACGCCGCGUGAGUGAAGAAGGUUUUCGGAUCGUAAAGCUCUGUUGUUGGUGAAGAAGGAUAGAGGUAGUAACUGGCCCCUAUUUGACGGUAAUCAACCAGAAAGUCACGGCUAACUACGUGCCAGCCGCCGCCGUAACAC